rnacentral:rRNA from 1 species
CAAUAGCGUAUAUUAAAGUUGUUGCAGUUAAAAAGCUCGUAGUUGGAUUUCUGGUGGGAGCGAUCGGUCUGGCGCUUAGCGCGAGUACUUGCAUCGUCUCCGGCCAUCCUUGGGGAGAGUCUGUCUGGCAUUAGGUUGUCGGGCAGAGGAUCCUCAUCGUUUACUGUGAAAAAAUUAGAGUGUUUAAAGCAGGCUUAUGCCGUUGAAUAUAUUAGCAUGGAAUAAUAAGAUAGGACUUUGGUACUAUUUUGUUGGUUUGCGCACCAAAGUAAUGAUUAAUAGGGACAGUUGGGGGUAUUCGUAUUCCGUUGUCAGAGGUGAAAUUCUUGGAUUUACGGAAGACGAACUACUGCGAAAGCAUUUACCAAGGAUGUUUUCAUUAA